GACGAACCGUGCGAACGUUGUUCGGAAUCACUGGGCUUAAAGGGCGCGUAGGCGGGUUCGCAAGUCUGUGGUGAAAGCCUCCAGCUUAACUGGAGAAGUGCCGUGGAUACUGCGAAUCUUGAGGAGGGUAGGGGCGUCUGGAACGGUCGGUGGAGCGGUGAAAUGCGUUGAUAUCGACCGGAACUCCGGUGGCGAAGGCGAGGCGCUGGACCCUUUCUGACGCUGAGGCGCGAAAGCCAGGGGAGCAAACGGGG
rnacentral:rRNA from 1 species